AACGAACGCUGGCGGCAGGCCUAACACAUGCAAGUCGAGCGCCCCGCAAGGGGAGCGGCGGACGGGUGAGUAACGCGUGGGAACGUACCUUUUGCUUCGGAAUAGCCUCGGGAAACUGGGAGUAAUACCGAAUGUGCCCUACGGGGGAAAGAUUUAUCGGCAAAAGAUCGGCCCGCGUUGGAUUAGGUAGUUGGUGGGGUAAUGGCCUACCAAGCCGACGAUCCAUAGCUGGUUUGAGAGGAUGAUCAGCCACACUGGGACUGAGACACGGCCCAGACUCCUACGGGAGGCAGCAGUGGGGAAUCUUAGACAAUGGGCGCAAGCCUGAUCUAGCCAUGCCGCGUGAGCGAUGAAGGCCUUAGGGUUGUAAAGCUCUUUCGUGGGGGAAGAUAAUGACUGUACCCCAAGAAGAAGCCCCGGCUAACUCCGUGCCAGCCGCCGCCGUAA
rnacentral:rRNA from 1 species